UAUAUACCCAGGUUCUUGCCCAGUUUACUUGUUGCGUCAGCGUCUCCUGUAGCUCAGGUUGACCUCAAACUGGCUGUGAAGCCAAGAGGGACCUUGAACUUCUAAUCCUCCUGCCUCUCCAGACUGAGUACUGAGAUUACAGGCACAUACCACCCAGCCAAUUUUUGUGGUGCUGGAGAUGGGAGCCCAGGGCUGUAGCCCGCUAAGCAAGCACUCUAGCCAACAUAGCUAGAUUCCUAUCCUGUUUGCUUGUCUGGGGUGGUGGUGGUUGUUUGAGAGGGUCUCCCUAAGUAGCCCAGGCUGGUCUCAAACUCACAAUCCUGCUUCCAAAGCCUCCAGAGAGCUUAGAGUUCAGCUGUGCACUACCACACUCAGCUGGCCCCAGUUUUAAGGUUACCUCAUCGCUUAAGUGACAAUAGGCAAGUAACUUUCCCGGUCUAGGCCCCAGCUUCCUAAGACACACAAUGGAGAGGAUGAAGCUGGUUAUCUUCUAGCUCAGAGGGCUAGAGCCACCGAAGGAUGAAAUAUUCACAUGAGUAGUGUUGCGAUUAGCUUUGCUAUCCCACCUAAGCUCCGGGAACGGGCCCGUGCUACACUCAUCUCUGACGUUGUUGCUUAACGGUGUGCUACCCUGUCCCCUCUUGCUGCCGGCUGCUGGCUUUAUACCCUCCCCUCACCUUUUUAACUUGGACUUUUACAGCAGUCAGAUUUGACUUUUAAAAUGGGGUAGUGGGUGAGCAGAUAGUAAGAUUUCCUUCAGUCCUGGGAAUGCCCCUAAAAAUACCCUGUCUGCUUUGGAUUGCAUGACCAAGAAAAACAGCCCAAAGCUGUCAGUUAGACAUACCCCACAGGGAUGAGGCUGAGGGGGUAAAAGGGAGCAGAGAAACAAGCUGCAAGUAUUUUUAGAUAAAGGUUUAGGGUUCUUCUAGAGAAAGGUAUCUGUGAUUCACGUGGAGUACAGGAAGGAAGGAAUUAAAGGCUGGUGAAGUUUUGAGGAGAAGCCAGCAAACCCUCGUUCCAGCCAUACUGUCUCUCCUCUAAUGUCUGUUCCAAUCUAGCCCUGGAAGUAUCAAAAUCAUCACUGUCCAAGUGGCCGUGUGGAUUUCGGCUCUCCUGGGUUGCACGGUGCCCAUCUGCCUCCAUCUGCACAAAUUACCCAGACUUCCCAGUGGCCCUCAGUCUACAACCCUUAGACUUUACUUCCUUGCCUAGCAGUGGUGACACACACCUUUCAUCCCAGAACGGAGGCAGAGGCAGCCGGAUCUCCGAAUUCGAGGCCAGUUUGGUCUAUAGAGGGAGUUCCAGGACAGCCAGAGCUGAAAACAACAACAGCAGCAAACCUCUGUCUUAAAAUAACAAGACAAAAUAAAACAAAAUAAUAAAAGAAUUCAAUCAUUCACUUCUCCCCUUCACUAGCUGUUGCCUAUAACUGUUACCCUGGGGCUGGAGAGAUGGCUCAGUGGUUAAGAGCACGGACUGUUCUCCCAGAGAUCCUGAGUUCAAAUCCCAGCAACCACAUAGUGGCUCACAACCAUCUGUAAUGGGAAUCACCCUUUUCUGGUGUGUCUGAAGACAGCUUACAUUGUGCUUGUAUAUAAUAAUAAAUAAAUAUUUUAAAAAAAUGUUACCCUAUAGGACAGAAUGAGACCGCUUCCUUUUGUUUAGAGCCACACACUGGUAUCCCGACAUCAGGAAUAGGGCAUGGGUGGCCAGACAUCCUGAUCCCAGCACGGAGGCUCCCAGACCCUUGGAUACCUUCUUCUACAGUGUCCCCUUUGCACAUCAUGACCCCCCACACCUAGAGGGGUAACGUCGAAUCUCCUUUCUACUUCCCCUCUAAAAACUCCUAUCUUCUCGAAGUUCCUUUCCAGUCAGUAUCUCCCCCCCUUCCACUCCCCACCCCCCGCCCAGCCUGCCUUGCUCUCUCUGCCU